CCUGUGCCAUCAAUCCAACUUAUUAUCCGCAGUCUGUGGCUAUCUGCACAAGUGGAGUCCACGUAAACAACAUAAGCACUUCUAAUAAAGGUAAAACGAGAGAGAGAGAGAGAGAGAGAGAGAGAGAGAGAGAGAGAGAGAGAGAGAGAGAGAGAGAGAGA